GAUGAACGCUGGCGGCGUGCCUAACACAUGCAAGUCGAGCGAACAGACGAGGAGCUUGCUCCUCUGACGUUAGCGGCGGCCGGGUGAGUAACACGUGGAUAACCUACCUAUAAGACUGGGAUAACUUCGGGAAACCGGAGCUAAUACCAGAUAAUAUAUUGAACCGCAUGGUUCAAUAGUGAAAGACGGUUUUGCUGUCACUUAUAGAUGGAUCCGCGCCGCAUUAGCUAGUUGGUAAGGUAACGGCUUACCAAGGCAACGAUGCGUAGCCGACCUGAGAGGGUGAUCGGCCACACUGGAGCUGAGACACGGUCCAGACUCCUACGGGAGGCAGCAGUAGGGAAUCUUCCGCAAUGGGCGAAAGCCUGACGGAGCAACGCCGCGUGAGUGAUGAAGGUCUUCGGAUCGUAAAGCUCUGUUAUUAGGGAAGAACAAAUGUGUAAGUAACUGUGCACGUCUUGACGGUACCUAAUCAGAAAGCCACGGCUAACUACGUG
rnacentral:rRNA from 1 species